UACGUAGGGUGCGAGCGUUGUCCGGAAUCACUGGGCGUAAAGGGCGCGUAGGCGGGCUGGCAAGUCAGUCGUGAAAUCUCUCGGCUCAACCGAGAAACGUCGGCUGAUACUGCCGUUCUUGAGGGAUGCAGAGGAGACUGGAAUUCCCGGUGUAGCGGUGAAAUGUGUAGAGAUCGGGAGGAACACCGGUGGCGAAGGCGGGUCUCUGGGCAUUUCCUGACGCUGAGGCGCGAAAGCGUGGGGAGCAAACGGG
rnacentral:rRNA from 1 species